GAUGAACGCUGGCGGCGUGCCUAAUACAUGCAAGUCGAGCGAACAGACGAGGAGCUUGCUCCUCUGACGUUAGCGGCGGACGGGUGAGUAACACGUGGAUAACCUACCUAUAAGACUGGGAUAACUUCGGGAAACCGGAGCUAAUACCGGCUACUAUAUUUAACCGCAUGUUUCAAUACUGUAAGACGGUUUUGCUUUCCCUUAUCGAUGGAUCCGCGCCGCAUUAGCUAGUUGGUAAGGUAACGGCUUACCAAGGCAACGAUGCGUAGCCGACCUGAGAGGGUGAGCGGCCACACUGGAACUGAGACACGGUCCAGACUCCUACGGGAGGCAGCAGUAGGGAAUCUGCCGGAAUGGGCGAAAGCCUGACGGAGCAACGCCGCGUGAGUGAUGAAGGUCUUCGGAGCGUAAAACUCUGUUAUUAGGGAAGAAAAAAUGUGUAAGUAACGAUGCACGUCUUGACGGUACCUAAUCAGAAAGCCACGGCUAACUACGUG
rnacentral:rRNA from 1 species